GUAUAUAUAUAUAUAAUAUGAAUAUUUAUUAUGAGACUUCAUAUUCAUACGAUUUAUGAUUAUUUGUAUCUUGCUUGAAAAAAAAUUAGUUAAUUCAUUGAUCACAAAACUUUCACCGUGGGACUUUUACCAUUUUAAUAAUUUAUAAUCGUUUAAAAAAAUUAAAAUAUAACAUAUAAGAAAAAAUGUAAUUGUUUUAAUAAUAUAAUUAAUGUGAUUGUUUAAUUUCUUUUAAUAAUAUAAAAUUGAACAAAAAAAGAGUGAGGAUACAAAAAUUGUUAUCCAAUAUGUAUUAUUCACAAUUAUUAAUUAUCAUAUAUGUGUUAAUCAUAUUAAGUGAAUCCAUAGCUUGUAUUUAAGGAAAAAAUUGAGAGUAUUCUUUUGAACACUACUAAUCAAUUUAAUAGUUAGUUUAAUAAAAAAUAUAAUAUAUAUUUAUAUGAACCAAUUUUUUUUUUUUUAAGAUUCUAAGAUUUAUCCUAGUGAUGAGAUGUGGCUACAAUAACAUUUUGUAAUGCUCCAAAAUUAAUAUAUAGUGGAUGAGUCAUAACAUUAAUACACGAGUCAUAACACUAUAUCUUGUCCAAUUUAAUGUCAUAUUUAUUGCUACCGAUUUAACAAAAUGUUUACAUCUAUAACAUUAUGACAUACUAGCAUUGUAUUUCUUUCUAUAGAUGUUAGUUCUAUUUUGUAUAUAAAAUUUGCUUAAUACCUACUAAAUGUUCAUUGACAAAUUAUUGGUAUAAACUUUGACAUUGUUACCAUUGUGCUAAAAUCAUUUUUUAAAUCAUUUUUAAAUCAAUUUAACAUUGUUAUAACAUUAUUAUUUAGAUUUUGUCAUAUUUUAUUUACUUUAUGUUGUAAUUCAAACCUACCUAUUAAGUAAUUCUAUUCAAACCUACAUAUUAAGUAAUUCUAUGUAAGUUCUUUUGACUACAAAUUGGUCUAUAUAAAUAGUGAAAUAUUAUAUUCUUUACAUCUUUGACCAAGAAAAAAUAUUUUAUUUCUAUGUUAUGCAUGACUGUGUUAUUAUAUAUAAUAUGAAAAUAAUGAAAACUACUUUGAAAAUAAAUCUGAAACACUAAGAAAAUAUGACUAUCACCAUGAAGACUAUAAUCGCGUUCGUCUUUACUAUAUUCUUCAUCAUAUCUUGUGCUAACUGUAUUACUAAAAUUCCUAGUACUUCAGGUUAUAAAAUGAAGCAGGAUACAGACUUUUGUCGAUACCCAGAACCGUGUAAUCAUAAAGGAGAAGAAGGCUGCAUGGAGAUCUGUCAAAUUUGGGGUUAUUCCCAGGGUCACUGUAGGUCUAAAAGCAUAUGUUGUUGUGUAUAAUAAUAAAUAUAAACUUAAGUUUAAAUCAUACGAAUGUAUUGGUAUCUACUAUAGAUAUUUUAUAUGUUCUAAAUAUACAUAUACAAAAUUUCUAUAAA